rnacentral:lncRNA from 1 species
CUGCAAAUGAAGCAUGUCGCACCAAGUAACAAAUACUGCAGUUCCACGAACGGCCCGCUUGAGGCUGGCUAUAGAAGUGAGUCAAUCUCUAUGAGGCCCCAUAUUAAAAUGCUCAAAUUUACAGCAGAAAGAAACAUGUUAACACCCUGGAACCAACAACUGUUUUGGCCUUUAUAGUUAAAUUGCCCAUUCAUUACAACUGUAUGAGGUGUGAAUUUUCAUAUAACUCACCUGUUUUAAAAUAUAUUAAGGAUUCAGUAACCAGGCUUCAUUCAGCCCGCUUCAGCUCCACCCAUGCUCCACCUCUUUGCCCAUUUUUGGAAUAGCCAGGAGCCAGCUGAGUCAGGUUUGCCAAAUGGCGACGGCAACUGACCACACUGAGCUUCACAACGGCUCUUCGGAGACUACGGCCAUUUUUAUUUAUACAGUCUAUGGUUGUGAUGCUACAGGCAGUGUAGCAGAGAGGCUGAUCAGUCAUUUGGAGCAGACUGUGUCUGUACCACAGGUGAAUGGUGACAGUUCAAACAUCCAGAGUGAACCGGACCUAUCAUCACUACACAGCCAGAACACUCUGCUGCGCAGGCGUGUGAAGACUCUGCAGCAGCAGUUGAAAGAGAGGGAGAAGGCAGAGAGACAACAGAAUAUGGAGACACUCUUUAACUCAGAAGUGUUUACACUCCAGGAGGAGCUCACUGUAGCUCAGUCCCAACUGCAUGAAGUCCAGGAGGAGCUUGCAGAACUACAGAAAGCCCUUCAGGACACACAGAGCCAGCUAAGAGACAGAGACGCGCAGAAUGCCCUUAUCAUGACAGAGUUGGAGGCUACUAGAAGCAAGUUGCUGAACAGUGAGAGAGAGAAAAGUGAGUUGGCCUUGCUCGCCCAGCAACGACUGGAAGAGAUCGGACACUUGAGCAGGACUCUUCAGAGUCAGAAUCCAUCAGAAUGUUAUAAAGUUGUUGACAGCUCAGUGUCAGACACUCUGGUUCUAAAACAUUUUGAACAACACCAGCACAGACAAGAUCCAGCAGAGCCUCCCACUGACCGCAUCACCCAGUACCUGAUGUCUCUAGGUCAGCCGGAGCCCGCAGAGAGAGAAGGAAACACACUAGAGCAAAAGAAACUGACCUUAGUCAAGCUGAGAGACACAUUAUCACGUCCCGAUGUAAAACCUAAAGAGACUUCAGCCUGUCACCAAAACCCUCACAUCGACCAAUCGCAUCAUUCUGACAAAAUCUGGUUAUGUGGUCGACUGUUGAACUCCACGUUGUCCCAGUGUGAUGUGGAAUCUGUGUGGUCCAAUUGUAGCGUGAGGUCAGGGUCGACCUUUGACACCAGAGACGAGGCAGCGUUCAGAGAUGGCCUGUCGGCUCUGGAUGCGAGCAUUGCCAGUCUGCAGAAGACUAUUCAGCUGGAUCUGGGGAGGUGA